AAAAUAGCACUGGUCCAACAAGUCUGGGAUUCCCUGCAUGGCAGAACUGCCUCUUGUAGAGUCCUGGGUGCUCAUUUGCAUAGUAAAUGUUCUGAGAACACUGUUUAAUCCAGUGUUUUAAAAAAACCAAAAAAACAAGAAAUUUUGAUUACAGAACUUUUCCAGGAACAAUGAUUGACAUUUUGAGGAAGGUCCGAGUGGUCAAUAGUUGGUGCUUAGUAAUAAGUAUUCUUCCAAUGAAUAAGUGUCCUCAUAAUAUAAUAUUUAAUAUCCUACCAUUAGAAAUUAUUCCCAGGGGCUGUGCAGGGAGCAGCAGAUUUCUGGGAUAUACAGUUACAAAGAGAAGGGGAAGGGUGAAGAAUGCAGAGAGGGAGGUUUGCUAAAACAAACAAACAUUUUACAUUUUGCCUAGGGCAGGGCUCUGAAUGAGGAUUCACGUUCGAUCCAGUGGACAGAUAUGGGAGCAAUGAAAGGUUAUAAAUGUUUUGGGUCCUUUUUUCCUAGGAAGUUUGGUGCUUAACUAUAUGCCAAAAACUGAAAGGAAGAGAAAUCCUAAAUAUAAACACUACUCCUCAGUUACCGAGAAGUCAUCUUUCGCUCCUCUGUUUUUUUGCAUUCUCACAAAGAUACACUGUCAGAAUACAUAUGGUCUGGCUUUUUGCAUAGAGCCCCCAAUUUUGCUUUUAACUCAGGAAGAGAUAAAGGAAAGAGGAUAAGUUUAAAAAUACCUGGAUUUCAAUUAAACUGAUUCUUCCUUCUUAGGAGUAAAAAGUAUGAGGGCUAAGGAGAGAGGAGUGAAUUGUAUGUAUGUAUGUAUGUGUGUGAUAUAUAUCUGCGAUCAACAGCAAUUUCAUUUUUAGGUGAAACCCGUAGACCUCAGAUUGGGGGUUUAAAUAUUUGUGAGUACAGUGAGAAUUGUUUGUUAUAUUUCAUUUACGUGAAAAACAGAACGUUUUAUGAAAUGGGAAAGGAAAUUCAUUUCCCUUUGAAGAUGUAAAUCCAGCCUAAGAGGAAAAUGCAGUUGAAAUGUGAAAUUUAUGAAAGGCAAAGAAAGUAUGUUUUUUAACCCGACAAAUUACAGACUCUGUAAAGAUAAACUAUCUUUGGUUUGUUGUGGGGAGGGGGAGAAGAGAAUAUUAAAAAUUUCCCAAGAUUCCUGACGACCACUGCCGCGCAGUCAUGCCUUCUGCUUGGUGGAGGGGCCGGGCCUGUGCUUUCUCCUCCUUCCUCCCCACCUCCCGUUUCCGGCAGGAUCCGUCUCCCACUGCCGCUGGGACCUCGUGUCAUUGCCCGCCCCGAGCAUGAUGCCCCCCCAAAAAGGGAGGUGAUGGAAUUAAACCACCCCAAUCAUUGGAAGAUUUGGAACCUCCUUGAAAAUUGGUAUUGCUGGAUUGCCAAAUGUUGGGAAAUCUACCUUCUUCAAUGUAUUAACCAAUAGUCAGGCUUCAGCAGAAAACUUCCCAUUCUGCACCCCUGAUCCUAAUGAAAGCGGCUACCUGUGCCAGAUGAAAGGUUUGACUUUUUUUGCCGGUACCACAGACCAGCAAGCAAAAUUCCUGCCUUUCUAAAUGUAGUGGAUAUUGCUGGCCUUGUGAAAGGAGCUCACAAUGGUCAAGCCUUGGGAAAUGCCUUUUUAUCUUGUAUCAGUGCCUGUGAUGGAAUCUUUCAUCUAACACGUGCUUUUGAAGAUGAUGAUAUCACGUAUGUUGAAGGAAAUGUAGAUCCUAUUCGAGAUAUAGAAAUAAUCCACGAAGAACUUCAGCUUAAAGAUGAGGAAAUGAUUGGGCCCAUUAUAGAUAAACUGGAAAAAGUGGUUGUGAGAGGAGGAGAUAAAAAAUUAAAACCUGAAUAUGAUAUAAUGUGCGAAGUCAAAUCCUGGGUUAUAGAUCAGAAGAAACCUGUUCGCUUCUAUCAUGAUUGGAACGACAAAGAGAUUGAAGUGUUGAAUAAACACUUAUUUCUGACUUCAAAACCAAUGUCUACUUGGUUAAUCUUUCUGGAAAAAAACUACAUUAGAAAGAAAAACAAAUGGUUGAUAAAAAUUAAAGAGUGGGUGGACAAGUAUGACCCAGGUGCCUUGGUCAUUCCUUUUAGUGGGGCCUUGGAACCCAAGUUGCAAGAAUUGAGUGCUGAGGAGAGACAGAAGUAUCUGGAAGUGAACAUGACACAAAGCGCUUUGCCAACCAUCAUUAAAGCUGGGUUUGCAGCACUCCAACUAGAAUACUGCAGGCCCAGAUGGAGUACGUGCAUGGACCAUCAGGAAAGGGACAAAGGCUCCUCAAGUUGCAGGAAAGAUUCACACAGAUUUUGAAAAAGGAUUCAUUAUGGCUGAAGUAAUGAAAUAUGAAGAUUUUAAAGAGGAAGGUUCUGAAAAUGUGGUCAAGGCUGCUGGAAAGUACAGACAACAAGGCAGAAAUUAUAUUGUUGAAGAUGGAGAUACUAUCUUCUUCAAAUUUAAUACAACUCAGCAACUGAAGAAGAAAUAAAUUUUAGUUACUAUUCAGAUAAAUGUACAACUUCCAAAAAUGGGUAUGAUUUUUUUAAAUCAACAUUUCUGAAAACUGAGGGGAAAAUAAAGUUGGGGAAUGGGAAUCUUCUAAAAACAGAAUUAUUUUUGUUUUAAAAUUAAAAUACUGUGUACCGCCAGUGAAAUGCAAGUUCACUGAAUGUGAACAGCUUUGCUUUUCACGUGAUUAAGACCCUACUCCAAAUUGUAGAUGCUUUUCAGGAACCAUAUUACUCUCAUGAUACUUCAUUAAUCUCCAUCAUGUAUUCCAAGCCUGACACAUUUGACAGUGAGGACAAUGUGGCUUGCUCCUUUUUGAAUCUACAGAUAAUGCAUGUUUUACAGUACUCCAGAUUC